rnacentral:rRNA from 1 species
GAUGAACGCUAGCUACAGGCUUAACACAUGCAAGUCGAGGGGAAACGACAUCGAAAGCUUGCUUUUGAUAGGCGUCGACCGGCGCACGGGUGAGUAACGCGUAUCCAACCUGCCCACCACUUGGGGAUAACCUUGCGAAAGUAAGACUAAUACCCGAUGAUAUCCCUAGACGACAUCUGAAAGGGAUUAAAGAUUUAUCGGUGAUGGAUGGGGAUGCGUCUGAUUAGCUUGUUGGCGGGGUAACGGCCCACCAAGGCGACGAUCAGUAGGGGUUCUGAGAGGAAGGUCCCCCCACAUUGGAACUGAGACACGGUCCAAACUCCUACGGGAGGCAGCAGUGAGGAAUAUUGGUCAAUGGGCGAGAGCCUGAACCAGCCAAGUAGCGUGCAGGACGACGGCCCUAUGGGUUGUAAACUGCUUUUAUAAGGGAAUAAAGUGAGUCUCGUGAGACUUUUUGCAUGUACCUUAUGAAUAAGGACCGGCUAAUUCCGUG